GGUCUAUGAUGUCAGACCAAUGUCACGGAUAAAAGGUGAUGACAUAAAAAUCAUGUUCAAUAUGAUUACGGUAAAUGCC
ensembl:snoRNA SNORD115 Small nucleolar RNA SNORD115